rnacentral:misc_RNA from 1 species
GCUUUGGAUACACCUGGUAUCUCAAAGUCUUAUCCUACAUUGGCAUUAACAUGGUUAAGUGUGCGGAUCCUACAUCUUUGGUUUCGCUAUCAGUCUCUUUCAGUUCUGCAAUUCAACACGAUAAAUCUCAAACGGGCUCGCAUAUUAGUGAACUCUCAUGUUUUACACUGUACAGUCCCAGGAAUCAAUGAAUGCAAUAGGAUGGAGAGCAUCUUAUUGUGGGAAAGAUUCUUAAGGCCACG